rnacentral:rRNA from 1 species
GACGAACGCUGGCGGCGUGCUUAACACAUGCAAGUCGAACGGAAAGGCCCUGCUUUUGUGGGGUGCUCGAGUGGCGAACGGGUGAGUAACACGUGAGUAACCUGCCCUUGACUUUGGGAUAACUUCAGGAAACUGGGGCUAAUACCGGAUAGGAGCUCCUGCUGCAUGGUGGGGGUUGGAAAGUUUCGGCGGUUGGGGAUGGACUCGCGGCUUAUCAGCUUGUUGGUGGGGUAGUGGCUUACCAAGGCUUUGACGGGUAGCCGGCCUGAGAGGGUGACCGGCCACAUUGGGACUGAGAUACGGCCCAGCCUCCUACGGGAGGCAGCAGUGGGGAAUAUUGCACAAUGGGCGGAAGCCUGAUGCAGCAACGCCGCGUGCGGGAUGACUGCCUUCGGGUUGUAAACCGCUUUCGCCUGUGACGAAGCGUGAGUGACGGUAAUGGGUAAAGAAGCACCGGCUAACUACGUG